CACAUAGUCUGUGCCAAAAGCCAAUUAAGAUAGAAAUGUUGUAUCUUUUUCUGGCUGUUCAGUGCAGGAGAAAGUCGGGACAUUUCAGUAACAAACUCGGGACUUCAGGUUGAGCUGUCAAUAUCGGGACUGUCUUAAACUAUAUGGGAACAUUAAUGUUAAACUUUUAACAUAAUUAAGGAAAACAAUGUGAAACUUUUGCACAGCUGAGUAGUUCUUCAAUACUAUGGAAUGCUGAAAUUUAAUUUGGCAGAUAGGUAGGUGAACCUGUACUCAGGUUUUGUAGGCAAAUGGAACAUAAUCAAGUUAAGCAUUCUUCAAAUGUCUACUUAUAAUAUGUUUUGUCCUUUACAACAAUGCACAGUACUAAGGAAUAAGACCAUCUCAUUGUUCAGACUCGCAGGACUGUGUUUUGGGCUAUAUGAAUGGCACAUAGAACCCAACCUAUGUUUCAGAAAGCUCACAAAUACCAAAAUCUAAUUGAUUGAAUGGUGGGGCUAAUGUUAUGUGUGUAUGUAUAUUUUUUUUCUAUAGCGCUACUUAUAUAUAAAUACAAAGUACACUUACAUUUUAAGAGCUUAGUCAAAGAGACAAGAGGUAGGAGAUCCCUGCCCUGUAGAGCUUACAAUCUAAGUGUGAACAAAAAGUAGAUAUUGUCCUGCUCCUCCUGGAUAGGAUGACCGUUCCUAAAAUGUUUAGUUGCAUUCUGUGUCCAAAUAUAUUAUAUGUGAUAACAUGAAAUAACUGCAGACACAGUUACACAGAGACAGAGUCCCGAAGUGAAGUUGUUGAAAAGAAUUGGUGAAUGUGUUAUUGUUUUACUUUUGUUUAUUUGGGAUGCAUCAAAUAGUGUUUUUUUUUUUUUUUUACAUAGGUUGUGUUCUAUCACACAAUUCCAGCUUCCAAAUCUAGAUCACAUUAUUAGUGAUUUUUGCUUGUGUGCCUGUGCUGUUCUCGUGCAGAGUUUAGAGACUUUCUCACUUCCAUUGGUGGCCCUACCACAUCACUUACCAAGAUUCUCGGGUCAACUUCCCCCACCUUAUUUCAAUUCAAGAGUAAAAGAGCCUUGGUAAGAGCAGACGAAACCAGCUAUGUCUGACUCCCUGUCCAGGGCAAGAGUAUAAAGUAAGACCUGGACCUGAAUUGUGACAUUUUAUUUGUGUUGCAGAGGAAAUCAAACUCUUUUUUUCCCAAAACUUUUUUAUUGUAUUUCCAAAGGUAAAUAAAAUAUAUUAAAAUGGUGAA